GACGAACGCUGGCGGCGUGCUUAACACAUGCAAGUCGACCGGUAAGGCCCUUUCGGGGGUACACGAGCGGCGAACGGGUGAGUAACACGUGGGUGACCUGCCCUCAGCUCUGGGAUAAGCCCGGGAAACUGGGUCUAAUACUGGAUAUUACUCUGCGGUGCAUGCCGUGGGGUGGAAAGCCUUGUGCGGCUGGGGAUGGGCCCGCGGCCUAUCAGCUUGUUGGUGGGGUGAUGGCCUACCAAGGCGACGACGGUAGCCGGCCUGAGAGGGCGACCGGCCACACUGGGACUGAGACACGGCCCAGACUCCUACGGGAGGCAGCAGUGGGGAAUCUUGCGCAAUGGGCGAAAGCCUGACGCAGCGACGCCGCGUGAGGGAUGACGGCCUCGGUU
rnacentral:rRNA from 1 species